GAUGAACGCUGGCGGCGUGCCUAAUACAUGCAAGUCGAGCGAACAGAUGAGGAGCUUGCUCCUCUGACGUUAGCGGCGGACGGGUGAGUAACACGUGGAUAACCUACCUAUAAGACUGGGAUAACUUCGGGAAACCGGAUCUAAUACCGGAUAAUAUAUUGAACCGCAUGGUUCAAUAGUGAAAGACGGUUUUGCUGUCACUAAUAGAUGGAUCCGCGCCGCAUUAGCUAGUUGGUAAGGUAACGGCUUACCAAGGCAACGAUGCGUAGCCGACCUGAGAGGGUGAUCGGCCACACUGGAACUGAGACACGGUCCAGACUCCUACGGGAGGCAGCAGUAGGGAAUCUUCCGCAAUGGGCGAAAGCCUGACGGAGCAACGCCGCGUGAGUGAUGAAGGUCUUCGGAUCGUAAAACUCUGUUAUUAGGGAAGAACAAAUGUGUAAGUAACUAUGCACGUCUUGACGGUACCUAAUCAGAAAGCCACGGCUAACUACGUG
rnacentral:rRNA from 1 species